rnacentral:tRNA from 1 species
CGGGGCGUAGCUCAGUCCGGCAGAGCACUGCGUUUGGGACGCAGGGGUCGUCGGUUCAAAUCCGGCCGCCCCGA